rnacentral:lncRNA from 1 species
AUUUUGACCCAUCCAUCCCAACUUGGCUACAGUGAUUCCCUGGUUUGGUGUAUCAGACACCAUUCUGACCCCUGCAGCUCCUCACUGUGAGCAGACUUGAUCCCCAUAGUGAGGCAGUUCUGCAAGCACAGCUGAUGGCCCAUUGCAUCCCCAGCCCAUGAGCUGGCUGCUAACCAUGGCUGAGUGCUGCCUCCCCCUCUUACCUACCAUCCCUCCUGGUUCUGACUUUGACAGGAAAAAUACAACUGGCUUGAACAUUCUAGGGGGACUGAAAUGUGAUUUUAAUUUUUUUUUAAUUUUUAAAUGCAAGAACUAUCUGUUCUUCAAAUCCUCCCACCCAAAUAUCAGAGGAUUAUUUGCUAAUGAGAAAUAAUUACAUCUCAAUAUUAAGUGACACAAGUUGUUGUUUACAUACAAUGUGGGAAUCCAGCAAGAUAUCAGGCAUAUGUUUAGGGGGAUUAUGCACAAGAAGUGAUUUCUCUUGUCAGAGAGCUGAGCCUUGCAAAUGAAAAUGACAGAUACAUGUGUUUAUAGGCAGGCUCCAGAUCUGGAUGUAUUUGCUUAUCAUUUCUCAUAAAUGCAGAUAUAUGCAGCACAAGUGCUAAUACAGCAUAAGCUGGAACAUAUGCUCCCCUCCAGCAGCUGUGGUGUGAAUCCUAACACUCAUGGGAUGCUUCAGGUUUGUGACCAGCAAGAGGAUUUGCACUGGUAAGCUAACAUAAAAACAAUGAACCUUCCUAUGGGUUGUUGCACAAUCCAUGGAGAAAUCCCAAAUGGAGAAGGUGAAGUACAGCCCAGCUUUCAGCUUCUGUUGCUGGCAGUCAACUGCUUUAGCAGCUAUCUGGAGCUAGCUGUUGCAUUGCUUAGCCAUGAUGUACAGAAGUGUUGGAAUAUGAACGCUUAUGUCAUGUUAUGGCUUUGAAGUGACCUGUAGAAAUCACCUAAUGCUUCAGUAUUUCCUUCCGGCUCACUUCAAAGCUGUAACUUCCAGUAUUUCUGUCCCAACACCUUGCAGAAACUCCUUGAAGACUGCAUCUGCUUAUUUCAUAUGCACGGGCACUUUCUUAGUUGGAUGGGAUUAUUAUUUAUUUGAUGGUAUAUUUACAGUUCAUCUCCUCUCCAGUCGGCGACUCCUUCCUGUGAGCUCUACUGGAGGAUGCUUUUCCAUCACAGUGAAAGGGUAUAGGAAAGAAAUAUCUGAAUUUACCCAUUCACACCGUGCAAAGAAGGAAUAUUAUUAAUACUCCCCUAAAAUUGUGUCCUGGGAUGUAGAUCUUAGUCAGUGAGAUUAUAGUAAACAGUAUUUUGGUACUGAUUUUUCCACUGAGACUAAAUACAAAAAUAAAUAGAUAAAUACAAUGAAAACUAGGUAUAUUUUUCCUACUUUUUUUUACCCUUGUCUUCUUUGAUCAGUUGACUUCUUGGUUGGGCAGAUGGAUGGAGGGUGACUGUUCUUCAUACAAAUACCUGCAUUUGGUUAAUCUUACGUUGUUAUAUAUAUGGUCAUCUUAUCAGGCAGCAGAUCAGAACCGUAGCACGUGUGCAGCACAAACCAUGGUGAGAGGACAACGGAGGCAAAUGGUGUCCAAGAAACCCAUCGGUUAAAAACUAUUUGUUCAAGGUCACCGUGGAUGUCCUUUGUUUCUGUUACUGUGAUGAUCACCAACUUGCUGCAAUGUCUGCUCUGCAGUGCAUCUGUCAUCAUGAGGCUGUGACACUAUAAAGAUGCCCAGCUGCUUCGCUUGAACACUUUUAAUGUGAUCUUUGUUGUUCCAUGGUUUCUCCGAACAUUUAUGUCCUCCUUUAAUGAUGAAUAUGUCCAUUCAGAAGGGACGCCAGAGGUGCUGCAGACCUCUGUGCUAGGGAAUGCAGUGCUUUCAUAGGCAUGAGCUUGGUGCUAGUGAGAAGCCACCCGCUGAGGCCUCAUGUUGGUGAGACUGGUGUUGAAGACAUCUCAGUAAGCUACUUGCUCCUCUGGAAGGUAUCCUGGGGUCCUACCUGCAAAAUCUCAUGUAAAAGCCCCUAGGAAGGGACUGACUCAUGCCAACAGCAGGACCUCACCCACAUCCCUUUUCCAUCCCGCUGGGAUGGGAAAACUGGCUGCUGAACGCACCAUUUGCAGGGAGCAAGAGAGCAGAAGAUGGAGCAUAUUCCUAGAAGUAAAGCAGGAAAUGAGCCACAGCUGUGAACCAGCUGACUGUAAAGGCCAUUCAUGUUCCAUCUUGGUCUCAGGGAUGCAGCCUGUGCAGUGCCUGCAGUUUCAGUGGCUCAGCUUCACAUUUGCACCUGGGUGAGAUGAGCAGGAUAGCUUGCAUUUUGCAGCUCCAGGGAGAAAAGAUGAUGCUUUCUGUAUGGUAAGUGGAAAAAAAUAGAUUUAAAUUAAAUUAGAUAGAAUGUGAAAGAUGAUCCUACCUCUGUUCAAGUGGUUGGUACUGUACUAAUAAGGAAACCUAUGACACCAGAUGUAAAAAUAGCUGUUACUUAAUGAGCUGAUCUGACUGGCCUCAAACAAAACCAUGGAUAUGCUGGAUAUAUUGCUAAUAUGGUAAUUGUGUUGCUUUUUAUCGAUCUGGGAACAUUUUAUCUUAGUUAAAGGGCACAGCCUGAGAAAUUGGUGUGGAGGGAUGCUGGGGAGAGACCAGCUUUGGCUUUGCAGGCAGGGUUUGGGGCUCUAACACUGCAAUACCUUUAUAAAUAACUACACGUGCAGACAUCUCCUGUGCCAGGCGCUGUGCUGCUUGACAGGAUGAGGCAAGGGGCUCAGACCAGGCUUCCUCAGGCUACCUCCAUGUCCCAGCCUUACAGAACGCGUGCUGCUGGGGCAGAGCAUCUGUCUUUUCUGUCCUACUUGCAGUGUGACUCCCUUGCACUAUUUGCAAAACAGAAGUGGGUUUGUUUGUUUGUUUGGCAACGGUCAAGGUGACCAGGAUCACUGAGGAGCUGUUUUUGCUCUCUAACGCCAGGCUUUCUGCCAGGGUAAAUUCAUAAAUGCUAGUGGAAGGGGUUUAUGCAUGCAGCAGUGAAAGCGAGAGGAAUUUCAACCUGCUUUAUGAGAAGUUGUGGUUUUGAAUGUGGAAAAGAACAGAUGAUGCUCUGAGUAUCUGACAAGGCUCUGGCCUUUGUGCUUCUGAGCAGAGAGAGCCAGCAGGGCAGGGCUGGUCUGGGGACACCAAUGGGAGCUUCCUUGUAUGAAAACACACAGUAAUGCUUUGGUUCUCUGCUCUUCCAAAUUUCUUUUUGCUAGCAAACAGGCAAUAAAAAUCUAGAUCAGUUUAAAAUGUUCCAAUCUUGCUAAAUUGAUUUUAAAAUCGAUCAAAUGGCACAACAGCCUCAAACUGGCCUAAUGAAACCAUUAUAAUCCUCAUUUAAAGGACUCUGCUUUAACCAGCAAAUUAGAAAUCAGCUAUGCCAUCAGUUUUCAUUAGUUUUGCAAGUUACGGUGCAUCUCAGACAGAAGCAAAUACAAGUUUAAGUGGCGUACCAUUAAUUCAGCUAAAGCAUCUCAGUCAGUGAUUAAAUUUACCUUUCAGCACACACGUAUUGAGGCUGUGUCCCCAGCAGCAGCAGCAGCCUCAGCUCCUGGGAGGGUUCACAGCUUGAUUGGGCAGAGCUCGGUGUGCAAGCAUAUCUUAAUGCACACACGGGGUUUUUUGUUCCUGUUUUACUGCUAGAUGUAGCUUUCUGACUGGCAGUGUAAUGGGCAACUAUAAACACUCACGAGUUUCUACUCUGACCAAGUCCAUGAGAGCUCUAAACAAGACCUGCUAACCCGGACGUCAGCCGCCAGUGCUUGUGCUUUUCACCAGCACAGAGCCAGUGUAUUUCUGGCUAUAGUAAGGACCAACUUGGACAAGAAGUUGUUUGUAAGAAUCAUUCAGGAAGCCAUCCUUCUACAGCAAGGAAAUCCUGUACUGGGCUAUAUGUGGUUCAGAGAAGCCGGGUCUGCCUGCAGGCUAUGUGCUUCAGAGGUGUUCCACCCUGCUGAUAGCUGCUGAGCAGACAGGCGGAGGUGGUGAGAACAUCCCACUUAAUAAAUAGAAAAUACCUGAAGAAAGGACAUGUAACAACAGUCCUGCACGCCCAAACUCCUGGGUGUCCACGGACAUGCCCUGGAGGCCUGGGCUGCUCAGUCUAAGAAGGGACUUCCGUGUCAGGUAGUGGUGAAAGCACCAGACUGACAAUGACACCUGUGUGUGCCUUCUGCCUUUCUGCUGCUGCUUCUCCCUCCUCAGAUAGCGAGCUCCCUGUGCAGAAUGCUUUUCCCACAGCUCAGACGGGGUCUGGCAUGCUGUAGCACUGACAUCUCGGUUACACAGAUGAAUGAAAUACCACUUGCUGUGGAAAACUUCAUGGAUGCUACAUACCCAGCAUGUCUUUUUGCCUCCACAAACCUCCCCUGGCAAUAUCACAUGGAUGUCCAUUUUUAGCUCAGUGUAGUACGUGAUUAAGUAUAACACUAUUCCUUAUUUAGAGAACAGGAUAUCCUGGACAUGAGGCAUUCUGAAGCAAGUGCUUGGAUAAUAUUUAUUUAAACAAUGGGUGAUUUAAAUAAUGGUAGGAAAAAUCAGUGUUGUGGAUCCUCCUUGGCUAUGAUUUGAGGUCACGGUUAUUCGUGUACAACCUGUUAUUUUUCUGGAACAUGCAAUUGUAAUAAAAAACCCCAAAGGCUUUUAUUCUUUAUAUAGAAGAGAAAAAAAAGAUUAUUACUUAAGUGGGGAAAAAAAUAGAAAACGUUAAAACUUUCCUGCAAGUACGUUUGUUUUAAUCCAAACAAAUGAGCUGUUACUUCUUCGGGAGGGGCAGAAAACGUAUCUGACAGCCACCUCAGAAGUGAGUGCGUUGCAUGGGGUCCAUCUCCAUACAGUGGUGGGAGACGGAGCAGAGGGCGGCCUACCACUGCUCCUUGUUCUCAGGCUCAAUCUGUUCUUGCUACCUGAAACAAGAGGAGCUCUACUCCAGACAAGAUAGCAUGGUUGUUUAUUUUCCUCUGUGAUGAGCUGUAAAAUGCAGACUACUGAUAGGAUGUAAUAACAUGGAUGAGCUGCUUCCAUUGCAAAGCAGACAGUCCCAGUGGUGUAAUUUUGGUAGGACUGGAACGAUGGGUAAUGAGAAAUGACACUUCUUACUAUUCGGUAACUGGAAGUAGUUUUGUGUUUGACCCCUUUGUUUCUGGUACAGCAGCCAGAAAUGCUGUUAGCCUGGGGGAUUGGGGAGAUGGAGUCGCUCUUUAAAUGGCAAUUUCCAAGUAAGGUCUUGACAGCAAAACUGGGCAGUUGCUUGUCCCUAUUAAGACUCCAACAUCUGACAUAUUCAGUAUUUUGUCCAGAGAGCUGGCCUGUGCUCAGAGCAUGCUGAAGCAGCCUAGGUUCUGCAGGCAGACCACUGGCCAUCCUUCACCAGCCCAGGCUCCACACUUCUCGCCUUGCUGCUGGCUGAAAAGGUGAGAGAGUACAGGCUAGUAAUUUACACCAUGGAGGUAAAAAUCAAAACUGUGAGCUAACUCUGGUCCUCAUUUUGGGGUUGUGGUUAUUGGAGUACAACCUGCUGUUUGGCAGCCUGAGUCAGCCUGCCACAUCACUGCCCGGGAGACAUACAGCUGUGUGCUGAGCCCCAGCUUGCUCUCCCCUGGAGUGGCUGCUGGAACACUGCUGUCAGCCCCGGCUUGCAUCCCACUGCCUCAGGUGCUGUCUGGAUUUCCUCCAGCCGGAGGACCUCUAUGCAUAGCUGUGGGGGAUGCAGCUUUCCCCGUGUGCAGGUCCUGCUGCGAUAGCGGCCGUGCUGCGGAGUUCCAGGCCCCAACACAGCUCUGUUGCCUCUUGCAGACUUGGCAGUGUGUGUGCCAAGCAGUGUGCAGCUUGCAGGCUGGAUCCAAAGCUGGUGUGCCGAUAG